UCUAGUUCUUUUUCAUUCUUCUUCUUCUUCUGCCUUCCUCUCUUUUCUUCUGUUCGAUUUCUGCAGAGUGAUUGUGAGUUGCGUGUGAUGAUAUCAAAGUAAAUCAGAUGAAGAAGAGAUGGAUUAGGAAGUAACUGUUGGUGGCGGUGUUGUUGUUGUUUGAGAUCGAGAGAACAAUAAGUGGAUGAUGUUGUAAAUAGAAUUAGGGCUUUCUGUAAGUUGAAUUGGAAAUCGAGUUAGGUGGUGAUAAAGAAGAAACUAGAGUAGGGUUGUAGUUGAAUUGAAAUUCUGAAGUCGUAUUGGAGAUGAACUGAGCUAGGGUUUCUGAAUCUGGUCUCGAGAUUCAAUUGAAGAUGAAAUCUAUGUUCUAAGAUGUUGUUAUGAGAUGGGUUUGAGACGAAUUCAUAGUUGAGUUGAAGAAUUGAUUAAAAUUGAUAGUUAGGGUUUUCUUUCUGUUGGAUUGAAGAAAUUGGGAAUUGGCUGUGAUGAACUGUGGAAGGGUUAGAUGAUGAUGUGCUGAGUCGAAUCAGUCUAAAGAAGGGGUUGAUUUCAAUUGGUGGAGAGAGUCUUUUUGAGGUAAUUUACUUCUUAAUAUCUCAGUAAAGCUUUUUGAUGUCUUUUAAUGAAUUAUGAGUUAUGGAUUGAUGAGGAUGUAAUAAACUGAGAUUAAGAUGAUUAUAAAAUGGAACUGUAAUUGUGGAUAUGAAGAUGUUGUUGAAUUGUGAACAACUGCAGGGAAUGGUUGUUCUUUGUGGUGGUAUGUGUGUGGUAUGAGCUGUGGUUGUAGUUUAGGUCAAGAUAUAGUGAACUGAUGGUGUUGUUUGUUUGAAUGGGUUGAGUUGAUGAUGUUGAGAUGCAACUACAGGUGGUGGUGGUUUAUGAGUUACAAGGCUUUGUAUUGAAGUUGUGUUAAAUUACAGGGAAUGGAGUUUUGAACUAGCAUUGAUGUGAAAUCUCAGAUAUGAGCGACGGAGUGAGCUGAUAAUAGGAUUACAAUUAUGUUUGGUUGUUGUAGAUGGUGAAUGAGUUAGGUUAUGCAUGAACUUAUCUGGGAAGAAGUUUGGUUAACGAAUGAGUUAAUCAGGGUAAUGGUUCUGCAGCUGUUAGUGUAUGAUUGUGCAGCUAAGAAGGAUAAGCAUGAUCUGUGGGGAAGAUAUUUGGUAGUGGUGGUUUCGUAUGUUGAACUGAAGCUGAAUUGAGUAUUCAUAGAUGCAGGGCUAGCUGGUAUUGCAGUUGCAGAUGUUUGAGUUUAAUUGAUACAAUGGGGAUCUAUUUGGGGGUUCAAUAGUUGUCGGUGGUGUUUAGAGGAUAUAUGUAUUGUUGUGUGGGUUGGUGGUUGACUGGAUAUGUAACUGAAGUAUUGGAAUGAUGGAUUAGAUGUUUGUAUGGAGUUGAAAUUCUCUUGUAGAAGCUUGGAAAAGCUGCAAUUGCAGAGGAUGAACCAGUGGAUCAUGGAUCUCGAGGUAGGCGUGGCUUGUCAUCAAAAGAGUUUCAGAGACAGAUUAGAGUUGCGCAGCGGAAGCUUCAAAGAGUUGAUUUCAUUAGUUGGGUAACUUCUACUAUGUUUAUCAUAUUGCAUAUUGUAUCCGUAAACCUAAUGACUAUUGUAUAUAUCAUUUGAGAGGACUUCUUGUAUAUAUAUGUUUCAGAGCGGGUUAGUUUUGGGUUAAGUUUUGUAGCACAUUUAUUAGUUGAAUGAUUAAGUAUAUGAUUUAGAUUUCUAGUGCCUCUACUUUUAGUUAAUCUCUUGGAUUAAUCAGCUGCUAGCUUUGGGGGCGUUACAAAGAUGUUACUGGAUUUUCGACUGAAUGAGCAAACCAUGGCUUGAAUAAAAACCCAGUGGAAUAAUAGAGCGUCAUCCAACGAGCAUAAAUUGGUGUACAACCGCUGAUAUGAUGGUGAAACCUUGGUUGGUUUAGGAUUCACGGGCCGGGUCCGAAAAGGAAAUCCUUAUGGAAUUAGGUUUUGGAAAUAAAAUUGAUAUAAAAAGGAAUUAAUCUCUUUUCUUAUUUAUUUCACCUAGACACAGCCACCACCUUUAUCACCUUUUCAUCUUCACGUUUGAGCACAAGGGAUAGCAGGAGAAAACCUCGCCGGAGCCGCCAGCAUCGACCGGCGUCGGCACCGACCAGAUUCAAGCAAAUUUUAGAGUGUUAACUCUUGCACUACCGUCACUAUUGUUAGUGGAUUGUAAAAAGAAAAUGGUGACUUCCAGUAGCAGCGAUUAUGAUUAUAUUUAUUCCUCCAGCUCUUCCGAUGAGGAUUUCAAAGCUUCUGCAGCCAAAUCGAAAACUAAGAAAAAUCACGAUGAGGGGGCAAAGCCUAAUAUUCCCUUUAAUGACCGGAGAGUCACUUAUGCUGAGCUUAUGAAGAGAAAAGCCGAUGAUGAUGAGGCGGACGACCGUCGAAGUAGAAAGGAUUGAACCCGGCGCCGAAUACUAACAGCUGAGGAAAGACGUCGAUUUGAUGACGGUGUACCUUCCGACUCUGAUGCUUCAGAAGAUGAACCGGUGUGGGUGCCACGGGAUCGCAAGAUUAAGCCAGAUCGUCGUACCAAAGAACUCAGAUAAAUUGCGAAACGAGUCGAGGAUGAAGCGGAAGAGGACUCAGACGAUCCUAAUAUCCAUCCAGAAUUCAUCAAUGGCCCUGACAGUGACUCUGACGAAGAAGAGGAUUCUGAGAAGGAUAAUGAGGAUGAAUCUGAUAAAUCCGACAACUCGGAUGAAUAUGAUGAGUAGCUUUACUCCUGAUCUUACUUAGACAUUUGAAUAUUUUCUUAGCCUUCGUACUAGACAUCUUCUUUAUUUGAAUAGCUUCACUUCAGUAUUAAGAUUUUCCUUUUGAACUAAUAAUGGCGGUUCUUCUUGAUUGAAUCAAACAGAGCCAAUGCUCAUGCACCAAAACC